CUCACUGUCUGGCACUUUUAUCUGACAGGGUCAUACUUUGAGAAAAAACAUCUUGUUUCUUCAUUUUAGCACCUCAUGACAUACUAGCUAAAUUGCGUUUUUGCUAUUAUGCAUGUAUUUUUUAUCACACGAUAUAUAUGUAUUUUCUUCCUACACAAUAUCUCUGACAACACACACACACUUACAGAAACAUACUUAAUGAUAGACACAUACACACUUACACAAUCUUGCACACACACUCACAAAUUCAUUGUAUUGUUUGAUGCUCCUACC